GGAGUUAGCCGGUGCUUCUUCUGUGAGUGAUGUCCUUCCUGCCGGCUAUUAACCCGCAGGCCUUCUUCCUCACUGAAAGUGCUUUACAACCCGAAGGCCUUCUUCACACACGCGGCAUGGCUGGAUCAGGGUUGCCCCCAUUGUCCAAUAUUCCCCACUGCUGCCUCCCGUAGGAGUCUGGGCCGUGUCUCAGUCCCAGUGUGGCUGAUCAUCCUCUCAGACCAGCUACGGAUCGUCGCCUUGGUGAGCCGUUACCUCACCAACCAGCUAAUCCGACAUAGGCUCAUCCGAUAGCGCGAGGCCCGAAGGUCCCCCGCUUUCCCCCGUAGGGCGUAUGCGGUAUUAGCCUGGGUUUCCCCCAGGUUAUCCCCCACUACCCGGGCAGAUUCCUAUGCAUUACUCACCCGUCCGCCGCUCGCCACCAGGGAGCAAGCUCCCCGUGCUGCCGCUCGACUUGCAUGUGUUAGGCCUGCCGCCAGCGUUCAAUCUGAGCCAGGAUCAAACUCUGA
rnacentral:rRNA from 1 species